rnacentral:tRNA from 1 species
GGCCGUCUGGCGAAAUGGCAUCGCGUCUGACUACGAAUCAGGAGAUUGCAGGUUCGACCCCUGCGAUGGUCA